rnacentral:ncRNA from 1 species
GGCCGAGUGUGGGCGAAUAAAAGACCUGAAAAGGGAAUAAGCCCGCUUGCUCUACGACAAGUUUUCAGCACUCGGCCACCAGAGC